CUCCCACUGCGGAAUUUAACUAACGUGAAAGUUAGAGGGCUCCACACUCCCCCUGCGGAAUUUAACUGUUUCUAAUGGCACUUGAUAGGGUCUAGAAUUCUCAAAGUUUUAAGUGACCUCUUGUCACUGCUCGUUUUAAGUGACCUCAUCACCGCUCAUUCAUUCCUUUUUAGUAGAAUUAAUAUUCCUACUCACGGUCUGCUGAUUUUCUUCCUAGGAAGAUCUCGUCAACCCUCCCGGUGUCCAGCCGGACUGAUCGAGACAGUCCCGUCAAAGGGCUUUUGUUCACCUCGGCCGAGGAUUUUUGCCUGCGUCGAAGAGUCCGCUGGACCCGUUCAAGAUCAUGGGUCCUUCCCCUGCACGACCGUCCGCUUGACCUCCCCGUGAUGAUAACUACACCUGUGUCCUCCCUCCUCCGUAUGUGUAUUUAGUCUGCGUCUUCCCCUCGCCUUGUGCCAGUGCGUCUUGCUGGCCAUGACCACCAGCGACUCCAUAGCCACAGCUAUUUCCCGUGCUUUGCCCGUGCGAGCUUGCCUUCGUUUUUCCCUCAGUGUGAGGCGCUUUUUUUUGCUGUUCCCAGCCCUUUUUUCCCUCUGUAGAGGCGCUUUUGUCUAUCCCCUUUUUUCCUCGUGUUGAGGCACUUUUGUCUGUUCCCUUUUUGCCUCAUCGUGAGGUACUUUUUGUUCCUGGAGCUGUCGUCCGCAGAGGAAAUAAACUCCUUGAACUUUCGAACUCUGCAUUCGAGUCCUCUCCCUGCUCUGAGCGUGACACUGUCUACGAGUGUUGUGUGACGUCAGAGGUUGAUACUUGUUGUAUUUCUGUCUGUUGCAGAACCACAGACACCCCACAAACCACACACACGCUUCACACGCUUCACACAAUACCCUUUUGCCAAUUUGCCUGUACACCCCUAAGAGCCACAGUGACUGUGACUUUUUUGCCAAUAAUUCAGUAAAGUAAUCCAAACUCAA